rnacentral:rRNA from 1 species
UACGAAGGGGGGCUAGCGUUGCUCGGAAUGACUGGGCGUAAAGGGCGCGUAGGCGGAUGGUACAGUCAGAUGUGAAAUUCCUGGGCUUAACCUGGGGGCUGCAUUUGAUACGUAUUGUCUAGAGUGAGGAAGAGGGUCGUGGAAUUCCCAGUGUAGAGGUGAAAUUCGUAGAUAUUGGGAAGAACACCAGUGGCGAAGGCGGCUCACUGGACCGGCAUUGACGCUGAGGUGCGAAAGCGUGGGGGAGCAAACAGG